GCGGGAGUAGCUCAGGGGUAGAGCACAACCUUGCCAAGGUUGGGGUCGAGGGUUCGAAUCCCUUCGCCCGCUCCA
rnacentral:tRNA from 1 species